rnacentral:rRNA from 1 species
UACAGAGACUGCAAGCGUUGUUCGGAUUCAUUGGGCGUAAAGGGUGCGCAGGCGGUGUGCUAAGUCGGGUGUGAAAUCUUGGAGCUUAACUCCGAAACUGCAUUCGAUACUGCCGUGCUUGAGGACUGGAGAGGAGACUGGAAUUUACGGUGUAGCGGUGAAAUGCGUAGAUAUCGUAAGGAAGACCAGUGGCGAAGGCGGGUCUCUGGACAGUUCCUGACGCUGAGGCACGAAGGCCAGGGGAGCAAACGGG